UAGCUGAUCACGGUCGGACAUCGUGAGGUUAGUGCAAAGGCAUAAGCUAGCUUGACUGCGAGAGUGACGGCUCGAGCAGGUACGAAAGUAGGUCUUAGUGAUCCGGUGGUUCUGAAUGGAAGGGCCAUCGCUCAACGGAUAAAAGGUACUCCGGGGAUAACAGGCUGAUACCGCCCAAGAGUUCAUAUCGACGGCGGUGUUUGGCACCUCGAUGUCGGCUCAUCACAUCCUGGGGCUGAAGUAGGUCCCAAGGGUAUGGCUGUUCGCCAUUUAAAGUGGUACGCGAGCUGGGUUUAGAACGUCGUGAGACAGUUCGGUCCCUAUCUGCCGUGGGCGUUGGAAGAUUGAGAGGGGUUGCUCCUAGUACGAGAGGACCGGAGUGAACGCACCACUGGUGUUCGGGUUGUCAUGCCAAUGGCAUUGCCCGGUAGCUAAGUGCGGAAAAGAUAAGCGCUGAAAGCAUCUAAGCGCGAAACUUGCCUCAAGAUGAGUCUUCCCUGGGCCUUCAAGGCCCCUGAAGGAACGUUUAAGACUAAGACGUUGAUAGGCUGGGUGUGUAAGUGCAGCGAUGCAUUGAGCUAACCAGUACUAAUGAUCCGUGAGGCUUAACCUU
rnacentral:ncRNA from 1 species